CGAGGAUAGGCCUAAGGGAAAAAAGAAGAGAGAGGGUGAAAAACAGCCGUUGGAUCACAGAAAUUUGAAGCAGAGAGAUUAUGAAGAAUCAAAGCAAAAGGAAUGGGACCAAAUGUUCACUAUAGUCCUAAAGAGAGCUGAAAAAGCAAAAGCAGAGAGAGGAGAGAUCUUUGCUUUUGAUCUCCACUUGAGAAGAAAAAUCCAUUAAUCUUUCACAUGGAAAAGAGUGCUCUUGUAUUAAGUUGAAAUCCAUGAGCCCCCACCCUUAUAUGAAUGGAAAGGGGUGCUCUCUUGUACUACUAUUAAUAAAAACAUCCAAACCAACACACAAACAGGUGCAAGUAUGGUUUUUAUCAUGACUUAUAUUGUCUUAACACACACACACACACAACUGUUUAUGAACACAAGCAAGAGGGUUGCCCCUCAUGUGAUGUCUAUGUCAAUCUUGAUGCCCCA